UGGCGCCGGAGUUGAAGCCCAUCAAAGUUGUUUCACCAUGGCACAUGAUCGGGGUGGACCUCAUCAGACCCUUCACGAAAUCCAGGAAUGGCAUCCGCUGGUGUCUGACGGCGACCGAUUAAUUCACCAAGUGGGUGGAGACUAUACCCAUUAAGGAUAAGACUGGCGAGGCCACCUCCAAGGCGAUGAUGGAGAUCUUCAACACCCACGGUGCUCCUGAGGUUUGGAUGAAUGGACCAACCAGACCCUCAAUACUGCCAUGGGCAAGUCCCUUGACGGGUACCAGGAACGGUAGGACAACCUGAAGGUAAUUUUCUUUGCACACAACAGCAGUGUCCAGGCCUCCACCAAGUACUCGCCCUAUCGCCUGCUGUAAGGACAGGAGCCGCAGCUGUUGACAGAGGUAAACAAUGCAAUUGUAUAUACAAUUAUAUCAAAUUAUUGCAGAUACUGCAGUCAUUCAAAUUUGUGAUUGAGCUGGCUAACAUGGUGGAAUGCUCCCGGACCCGCUCAAUGACUCC